rnacentral:rRNA from 1 species
GACGAACGCUGGCGGCGUGCUUAACACAUGCAAGUCGAACGGAAAGGCCCUGCUUUUGUGGGGUGCUCGAGUGGCGAACGGGUGAGUAACACGUGAGUAACCUGCCCUUGACUUUGGGAUAACUUCAGGAAACUGGGGCUAAUACCGGAUAGGAGCUCCUGCUGCAUGGUGGGGGUUGGAAAGUUUCGGCGGUUGGGGAUGGACUCGCGGCUUAUCAGCUUGUUGGUGGGGUAGUGGCUUACCAAGGCUUUGACGGGUAGCCGGCCUGAGAGGGUGACCGGCCACAUUGGGACUGAGAUACGGCCCAGACUCCUACGGGAGGCAGCAGUGGGGAAUAUUGCACAAUGGGCGGAAGCCUGAUGCAGCAACGCCGCGUGCGGGAUGACGGCCUUCGGGUUGUAAACCGCUUUCGCCUGUGACGAAGCGUGAGUGACGGUAAUGGGUAAAGAAGCACCGGCUAACUACGUGCCAGCAGCCGCGGUGAUACGUAGGGUGCGAGCGUUGUCCGGAUUUAUUGGGCGUAAAGGGCUUGUAGGUGGUUGAUCGCGUCGGAAGUGUAAUCUUGGGGCUUAACCCUGAGCGUGCUUUCGAUACGGGUUGACUUGAGGAAGGUAGGGGAGAAUGGAAUUCCUGGUGGAGCGGUGGAAUGCGCAGAUAUCAGGAGGAACACCAGUGGCGAAGGCGGUUCUCUGGGCCUUUCCUGACGCUGAGGAGCGAAAGCGUGGGGAGCGAACAGGCUUAGAUACCCUGGUAGUCCACGCUGUAAACGGUGGGUACUAGGUGUGGGGUCCAUUCCACGGGUUCCGUGCCGUAGCUAACGCUUUAAGUACCCCGCCUGGGGAGUACGGCCGCAAGGCUAAAACUCAAAGGAAUUGACGGGGCCCCGCACAAGCGGCGGAGCAUGCGGAUUAAUUCGAUGCAACGCGUAGAACCUUACCUGGGUUUGACAUGGAUCGGGAGUGCUCAGAGAUGGGUGUGCCUCUUUUGGGGUCGGUUCACAGGUGGUGCGUGGCUGUCGUCAGCUCGUGUCGUGAGAUGUUGGGUUAAGUCCCGCAACGAGCGCAACCCUUGUUCACUGUUGCCAGCACGUUAUGGUGGGGACUCAGUGGAGACCGCCGGGGUCAACUCGGAGGAAGGUGGGGAUGACGUCAAGUCAUCAUGCCCCUUAUGUCCAGGGCUUCACGCAUGCUACAAUGGCUGGUACAGAGAGUGGCGAGCCUGUGAGGGUGAGCGAAUCUCGGAAAGCCGGUCUCAGUUCGGAUUGGGGUCUGCAACUCGACCUCAUGAAGUCGGAGUCGCUAGUAAUCGCAGAUCAGCAACGCUGCGGUGAAUACGUUCCCGGG